rnacentral:lncRNA from 1 species
UUUUUUUUUUUUUUUUUUUUUUUUGUCUUUUUAGUGCUGCACCUGUGGCAUAUGGAGGUUCCCAGGCUAGGGGUCUAAUUGGAGCUGUAGCCACUGGCCUAAGCCGCAACCACAGCAAUGCUAGAUCCAAGCCACAUCUGUGACCUACACCACAGCUCACAGCAAUGCUGGAUCUCUAACCCACUGAGUGGGGCCAGGGCUCCAACCUAUGUACUCAUGGAUAUUAGUCAGAUUUAUUUCCACUGAGCAACAAUGGUAACUCCCUCUCAUUUUCAUUCAGCAGAGUUUUGGAAGUUCUAGCCACAGUAAUCAGAGAAGAAAAAGAAAUAAAAGAGAUCUGAAUUGGAAAAGAAGUAAAAAUUGUCACUGUUUGCAGAUGAUAUGUCAUUAUACAUAGAAAGUCCUAAAGAUGCUGAAAGAAAAUGACUAGAGCUCAUCAAUGAUUCUGGUCAAGUUGCAGGAUACAAAAAUAACAUGCAGAAAUCUGUUGCAUUUCUAUACAGCAACAAUGAAAGAUCAGAAAGGGAAAUUAAGAAAAUGAUCUCAUUUGCCAUUGCAUCAAAAAGAAUAAUAUGGAGUUCCCAUCAUGGUGCAGCAGAAACAAAUCCAACUAGGAACCAUGAGGUUGUGGGUUUGAUCCCUGGCCUCACUCAGUGGGUUAAGGAUCUGGCAUUGCCAUGAGCUGUGGUGUAGGUCACAGACACAGCACGAUUCUGCGUUGUGGCUGUGGUUUAGGCCAGUGGCUUCAGCUCUGAUUGGACCCCUAGUCUGGGAGGCUCCAUAUGCUGUGGGUGUGGCCAUAAAAAGACAAAAAAGACCAAAAAAAAAAAAAAAAGAAUAAUACAUCUAGGAAAAAACUUACUUAAGAAGGCAAAAGACCUAUAUUCUGAAAAAUGUAAGAUGAUGAGAGAAAUCAAAGAUGACACAAAGAGAUUAAAAAGAUAUACCAUAGUCUUGGAUUGGAAGAAUCAAUAUUGUCAAAAUGACUAAAUCGACCAAGGCAAUCUAAAGAUUCAAUGUGAUCCCUAUCAAAUUACCAAUGGCAUUCUUCAUAGAAUUAGAACAAAAAACUUUAAAAUUUGUAUGUAAACACAAAAUACAUCAAAUAGCCAAAGUAAUCUUGAGAAAGAAAAAUGCAGCCAGAAGAAUCAGGCUCCCUGAGUUUAGACUAUACUACAAAGCUAGAGUAAUCAAAGUAGUAUGGUACUGGUACAAAAACAAAAAUAUAGGUCAAUGAAAUAGGAUGGAAAGCCCAUAUAUAAACCUAUGAACCUAUGGUCAAUUACUCUGUAACAAAGGAGGCAAGAAUAUACAAUGGAGAAAAGACAGUCUCUUCAACAAGUGGUACUGGGGAAACUAAACAGCUAUAUGUACAAGAAUGAAAUCAGAACACUUUAACACCAUACACAAAAAUAGACUCAAAAUGGAUGAAAGACCUAAAUGUAAAACUCAAUAUUAUAAAACUCUUAGAGGAAAACAAAGGCAGAAUAUUCUUUAACAUAAGUUGCAGCAAUGUCUUUUUUGACCCUCCUCCUAAAGUAAUGAAAAUAAAAACAAAAAUAAACAAAUGGGACCUAAUUUAACUUAAGAGCUUUUGUACAGCAAAGGAAACUUUAAAUAAAAUUAAAAGAUAACUCUAUACCAAACAAAUUUUUUUCAAAUGGUCAGAAGAUCUAAAUAUACCUCUCUCCAAAGAAGACAUAUGGCCAAAACGCACAUGAAAAGAUGAUGAAUAUCACUAAUUAUUUGAGAAAUGCAAAUCGAAACCACAAUGAGGCACCAUAUUAGACCAGUGAGAAUGGCCAUCAUUAAAACAUCUACAAACAGUAAAUGCUGGAGAGGAUGUGGAGAAAAGAGAACCCUCUUAUACUGUUGGUGGGAAUAUAAGCUAGUGAAACCACUAUGGAGAUCAGUAUGGAGAUUCCUUAAAGAAACUAAAUGUAGAAUUACCAUAUGAUCCAGCAAUCCCACUCCUGGGCAAAUAUUCAAGAGAAAAACCAUAAUUCAAAAUGAUACAUGUACCCCAAUGUUCACUGCAGCACUAUUUACAAUAGCCAAUACAUGGAAGCAAUGUAAAUGUCCAUCAACAGAGGAUUGGAUAAAGAAAAUGUGGUACAUAUAUACAAUGGAAUAGUAUUCAGCCAUAAAAAAGAAUGAAACAAUAUGAAUGGGCCUAGAAAUCAUCAUACUAAGUGACAUAGUCAGACAGAGAAAGACAAAUAUCAUAUGAGGUCACUCAUAUGUAAAAUCUAAUGAAAAAUGAUACAAAAAAAGCUUAGAAAACAGAAAUAGAGGCAAAGAUUUUGAAACCAAAUAUAUGUUUACCAAAGGGGAAAUGUUGGGUGGGGAAAGGAUAAACUAGGGGAUUAGGAUUGACAUAUGCACACUGCUGUAUAUAAAACAGAUGGAUAAAAAGAAACUAUUGUAUAGCACAGGGUAACCUACUCAAUGCUGUGUAAUAACCUAUACGGGGAAAUCUGAAGAAGAAUGGAUAAAUGUAUAUCUAUAACAGAUUUACUUCAUUGUACACCUGAAACUAACAAAACUUUGUAAAUCAACUAUAUGCCAAUAAAAUUUAUUUUUAAAAAAUCUACAAAUAAUAAAUACUGGAGAGGUGUGGAGAAAAAGGAACCCUUCUACACUGUUAGUGGGAAUGAAAACUGGUAUAGCCACUGUGGAGAAUAACAUGGAGGCUCCUUAAAAAAAUCUAAAAACAGUGCUACCAUAUGAUCCUAGAAUUCCACCUCUGGGCAGUAUAUCUGAAGAAACUAUAAUCUGAAGAGAUACAUGCUCCCCAGUAUUUACUGUAGCACUAUUUACAAUAGGCAAGACAUAGAAACGCCUAAAUGUCCACUGAUAGAUGAAUGGAUAAAGAUGAAGUGUGUACACACACACACACACGCACAGUGGAAUACAAUUCAGUAUUUUCAUUUGCACAAAAAACAAAUAAAAUAAUACCAUUUACAGUAAUACAGAUGGACCUAGAGAUUAUUAUACCAUAAAGUCAGAGAAAGGCAAAUAUCAUAUGAUAUCACUUACAUGCAGAACCUAAAAAAAAUGGUAAAAUGAAUUCAUAUGCAAAAUGAAAAUAGACCCACGGACACAGAAAACAAAUCUAUAGUUGCCAAAGAGAAAAGCCAAGGGAGGGAAUAAAUUAGAAGUUUGAGAUUGACAUAUACACUUUACUAUAUAUAAAACAGAUAACCAACAAGGCCCUACUGUAGAACACAGGGAGCUAUACUCAAUAUUGUGCAAUAAUCUAUAAGGGAAAAGAAUCUGAAAAAAGAAUAUUUAUACACACAUAUAUUAUCUCAAUCUUCAUAAUAAUCUGUGAUGGUCAUGAAGUUAAGUAUUCUAUUACUAUUCCCCAGCUGAGGAAAUGGAAGCCCUGAAAAAUUAAUGAUUUGUCUAAGGUAGAAUCACUAAAUGGUAGAAACAGGCUUCAAAUUCUGCGAGUCUGACUCACCAGCCCAUGCUUUAACCACUUAGAUAACCACAGGCGACAACAAGUUAGUUGAGAGUACAGCACAAAUAAAGGGAGGGCAUGGUGGAUGCCCAGAAGCAAUUUGGUGAAUUAAUGAGACUUGGGUUUAUUCUGGGUAGGGAAGAAAGUGAGGUGGGAACACCAGAGAAAGAGCAAGGAAAGAAAUCACAGAAUUCCUGCUGUGGUGCAGCAAGCUCUGCAGUGUCUUGGGAGCACUGGGAUCAGGUUUGAUCCCCUGCCCCAAACUGUGGGUUAAGGAUCUGGUGUUGCCGCAGCUGCUUAGGUCUCAACUGCAGCUCAGAUCUGAUCCCUGGCCCAAGAACUCC